rnacentral:rRNA from 1 species
AACGAACGCUGGCGGCAUGCCUAACACAUGCCAGUCGAACGAGACCUUCGGGUCUAGUGGCGCACGGGUGCGUAACGCGUGGGAACCUGCCCUUAGGUUCGGAAUAACUCCCCGAAAGGGGUGCUAAUACCGGAUAAUGUCUUCGGACCAAAGAUUUAUCGCCUUUGGAUGGGCCCGCGUUGGAUUAGCUAGUUGGUAGGGUAAAAGCCUACCAAGGCGACGAUCCAUAGCUGGUCUGAGAGGAUGAUCAGCCACACUGGGACUGAGACACGGCCCAGACUCCCACGGGAGGCAGCAGUGGGGAAUAUUGGACAAUGGGCGAAAGCCUGAUCCAGCAAUGCCGCGUGAGUGAUGAAGGCCUUAGGGUUGUAAAGCUCUUUUACCCGGGAUGAUAAUGACAGUACCGGGAGAAUAAGCUCCGGCUAACUCCGUG